AGCUUGCUCCUUGGGUGACGAGUGGCGGACGGGUGAGUAAUGUCUGGGAAACUGCCCGAUGGAGGGGGAUAACUACUGGAAACGGUAGCUAAUACCGCAUAACGUCGCAAGACCAAAGAGGGGGACCUUCGGGCCUCUUGCCAUCGGAUGUGCCCAGAUGGGAUUAGCUAGUAGGUGGGGUAACGGCUCACCUAGGCGACGAUCCCUAGCUGGUCUGAGAGGAUGACCAGCCACACUGGAACUGAGACACGGUCCAGACUCCUACGGGAGGCAGCAGUGGGGAAUAUUGCACAAUGGGCGCAAGCCUGAUGCAGCCAUGCCGCGUGUAUGAAGAAGGCCUUCGGGUUGUAAAGUACUUUCAGCGAGGAGGAAGGCGUUGUGGUUAAUAACCGCAGCGAUUGACGUUACUCGCAGAAGAAGCACCGGCUAACUCCGUGCCAGCAGCCGCGGUAAUACGGAGGGUGCAAGCGUUAAUCGGAAUUACUGGGCGUAAAGCGCACGCAGGCGGUCUGUCAAGUCGGAUGUGAAAUCCCCGGGCUCAACCUGGGAACUGCAUCCGAAACUGGCAGG
rnacentral:rRNA from 1 species